rnacentral:lncRNA from 1 species
UUUCAUCUCCCAUCACUUUCUGCACUCCCAAAAGAUCUGCUAUGGUGAAAUUGCAACUGUCCAUCUCCAACGCGUCGGCCCGCGAGAACACCAAAGACGCCCCUGUUGUGAGGUCGUAGGCUCGUAGCAGGGGAUCAGAACCGGCUUUCACUCGUGUAUUUCAAACGUCGAUUCCCCAACCACGCACCUUCGACGACAUCGUUCGGCCCCCUCCUUAUUUAAUUGAAACUGAAGCGACUCCUAAUGUUAGACUUAGAUUUCAGGGCGGACGAAUGGUACAAUUGAAGUGUCAAAGAGGGGAAAGAGGCUCCGGAUAAUUUGUUUCGCUAUUUGGGAGGCAUAUGCGAAUUUGUGUGCUUGAACUUAGAGAAGACAACAACAAUC